rnacentral:rRNA from 1 species
AUGGCGUUCCGCGGCGCAGCCUCCCGCUCCUUCCUCGCCGCCGUCCGCGGUCGCACCGCUUCCACUGCCCCGCGCGUACGCGCGGCCCCCAUUCCCGCCGCCCCUCCCCGUCGCAUCCCUGCCUCGGCGCCCUCCUCCCCUCUCGCCGCCGCAAGGCCAUUGGCGGCGUUGAUGGGGUCGCCGGCGCUGGUUGCCGCAAGGCUGACGGGGCACUGCGCGUCGAGCGCGCGGGCGUGCUGUGAGCUCUCCCAGGGUACCCCCUUCUGCCGCACUUGUCAGGAUCGCUAA